rnacentral:lncRNA from 1 species
AUAUGGCUGGCAUGGGCUAUAGUAACAUGUUUGCCAUUGUUUUAUUUCCUUGGACAAAUAUUUGUAUCGGGAACUUUCCUACAACAAGUGUUCAUAAUUGGUUUCUUUUUAUUCAGUAAGUAUUACUUUUCUAUUCCUAACAAUAGCUUAUAUGGUCACAUCCUACAUAUAUUUGUUAUAUCAUUUUCUAAGAUAAAUAAUUACUCCCAGAACAGACUUUAUAGACUAACUCUAAUAGCUGUUUAAUUUACAAGAUUUCAGUAUUGUGUUCAGCUUUUUCUCAACCUUUAUUAUCUCCUUGUCCGAUGUCCCAUAAGGCCUCUACAGUUCAACGUUUCUGAAAGCUCAUUUUAACUGAGUUAGGUCGUUAGCCCAAUGUCAAACAUCCACUUCUCUAGGUUCAUGUAGUUCUUACCGUAGAUGAUUGUAUUACCAUGCUAACAGAUGCAUCUGUCCUGAUUUCUUUCUUUAGGUGUACAUCACACAGUCAUUUGAGCAACGUUCCACUUUUCUAGCAAACCUUGAAUUUUCAUUCUUGAGCAGCUAUUAUUAAAGUAAAAAGAUACCAAAGGUGAAAUGAGAAAACUGCCAUUGCAAAAAAUUAAAAAGACAAAUAGACAAAAACAAAUGUUCAAGACAAACCCCAUGAUACUAAAAAUUGAGCAACACAAACUACAUGAAAGGCAUAAACCGGUUUCUAGGUGUCUGGAGAUGUUGACAAUUCCUACUCCAUGAAAGGCAUAAACCGGUUUCUAGGUGUCUGGAGAUGUUGACAAUUCCUACUCCAUGAAAGGCAUAAACAGAUCUCUAGGUGUCUGGAGAUGUUGACAAUUCCUACUCCAUGAAAGGCAUAAACAGAUCUCUAGGUGUCUGGAGAUGUUGACAAUUCCUACUCCAUGAAAGGCAUAAACAGAUCUCUAGGUAAAAUUGAGAAUGGAAAUGGGGAAUGUGUCAAAGAGACAACAACCCGACCAAAAUAAAAAACAACAGCAGAAGGUCACCAACAGGUCUUCAAUGUAGCGAGAAAUUCCCGCACCCGGAGGCGUCCUUCAGCUGGCCCCUAAACAAAUAUAUACUAGUUCAGUGAUAAUGAACGCCAUACUAAUUUCCAAAUUGUACACAAGAAACUAAAAUUUAAAUAAUACAAGACUAACAAAGGCCAGAGGCUCCUGACUUGGGACAGGCGCAAAAAAUGCGGCGGGGUUAAACAUGUUUGUGAGAUCUCAACCCUCCCCCUAUACCUCUAACCAGUGUAGAAAAGUAAAAGCAUAACAAUACGCACAUUAAAAUUAAGUUCAAGAGAAGUCCGAGUCUGAUGUCAGAAGAUGUAACCAAAGAAAAUAAACAAAAUGACAAUAAUACAUAAAUAACAACAGACUACUAGCAGUUAACUGACAUGCCAGCUCCAGACUUCAAUUAAACUGACUGAAAGAUUAUGAUUUCAUCAUAUGAACAUCAGGCACAAUCCUUCCCGUAAGGGGUUUAGUAUCAUACCAUCAUAACAUAUAUGAGAAGAACAUAACCCGUGUCAUGCCAACAACUGUUUUUAGAAUAAAUGUGUUUAGUUCCGACGCAAAGACCUUAUCAGUGACUCAAUAUUAACGCCAAAAUAUGCAAUCUUUAAUGACUUGACAACAGUAUCGUAAUUAUAUCCCUUCUUAAUAAGUCUAUUCAAAGGUUUUGUAAGUUUAUGAGGUGAAUACUGACACCUUUGUGCUUUAUAAAGAAUAUUUCCAUAAAAAAUUGGAUGUGAAAUACCUGAACGUAUAAAAAGUCUGCAUGUUGAGCUAUAUUUACGAAUGAUGUCUUUAUACCGAUGAUAAAAUUUAGUAAGUGUCUGGAGAUGUUGACAAUUCCUACUACAAGAAAGGAUAAACAGAUCUCUAGGUGUCUGGAGAUGUUGACAAUUCCUACUCAUCUAUUCAUGUUACCUAAAUCCAGUAAAAAGCUAAUAAUAAGUUAUAUUUAAUGCCAUAAUGGAAAAAAAGGAGGACAAGGUUUCAGAAAUCAGUCCCAAACAAAACAUUUGCUGAAACUGACAUUAUUAAGAUGGUUGAUUUCUUGAAAACAUAUGUGUUACCUGUGGAGGAUGUGUUUUUCAACAAAUAAUUGGCAUUGUCAUAUGAACCAACUGCCCCCCUCAUCUUAUCAUCUCGUUCCUUAUUCACUUGAGACUGCCUUCAUACAGGAACUUCUUAGAAAAAAUAAGUUAUCACUAUCCUUUAAUUUCACUUUCCACUAUAUAAAAGAUCUUCUCUAAGUAAUUAAUUCUGAAUUUGGUGAUUAUAUUAAACGCAUCUAUACUGUGGAACUUGAGAUAAAGGAUACAACAGAUCCAUUUAAGUCUUGUUUCAUAUCUUGACUUACACCUAGAAAUUGACAAAAGAGGUGAUUUCAGCUUCCAAAUAGUGAACUACCCAUUCCUAUAUAGAAACAUUCAAGCAGCACCUGCAUAUGGAGUAUUUAUCUCCCAAUUGAUAAGAUAUUCCAUGGCUUGUGUUUUAUUAAUUUCAUUUCCUUGAUAAAGAGUUGCUCCUCACAAUGAAACUAAUUUAACCAAGAUUUCCAAGUGUUGGAGUUGAAAUCAUCCCUUAGCAAAAAUUCACGGAUGCCAUCACAAGUUGGUUGACAGUUAUGGAAUUUCUGUUUCAGAGAUGACAAUGGAUAUGUUCAAAGUGUUGUAACUACAAUGUUGUCCCCUUAUCCCCAAGGUGACCUUCUCAAAUAGACAUAUCACCAGGUUUUACUUAAAACAAGGAAUUAUUCGAAUCUGGAAUAAUUUUUAAUUCUAGAAAAAAUUGGUGAGAAACUAAUGGCUAAGGGGGGUUAGUUAGUUUAUACUGAAAUGAUAGUGAAAAUAAAAUUAACCUUAGCCAUGCCUUUUUAGUUGGGUUAGUUUUCAUAAUCAAUUUUCCAGAUUUCAAAAUUAUUCCAGAUUCAAAUAAUUCCUUGUUUUAAGCAACAUCACAAGUGGCACAUGUGGAGCAGGAUCUGCUUAACCUGCCCCAGAUCAUCCCCAGUUUAUGGUAUUUGUGUUUCUAUUUUAGCCAUGGGUAUUGUCAGUUUAUUACAUUUGUGAGUCUCUUUUAGAAUCGAUAUUUUGCUUCUCUUUUUCCAUUAAAUCAAAAUUAUAAUCUGACCAUUUUAUAACACAUUUCUUUCACCAAUGACUGUUACUAGAUUUAUUUCACUAGACUGGGCGGAGUUUAAGAAGUUCACUCAUUUACGACCAGUCCAUCUAUAGACAGGAGUUUUGGGAUAAUGAAGUGUGCAGUUAUUUGUCCCAUAUCAUACAAUCAGUUCUUUUGUAUAUGCGUUUGGUGACACUGAUUAGUGAUUAGAAUUCAAUAAGUAUCAUAACGGCAAUCAUCCUUAUCACACACAUCUUCAGAUAGACUGUCCUUAUGCAAAUUAAAACAUAAGCUCCGCCCGAUCAGUUGAAAUAAAAUUAGUAAUACCUGUGUAUUUUCAGUGUCUGUAGCAGCCAAAUGGUUAAUAGGAUGGACAGAAACAAAGAAAGGAUCAAAAUAUGGAAUGAAAGAAAAGAAAAAGAACAAAUAACAAGUCUUUUAUACUGUGAUAUUUUUUUUAAGAGUAUUACCUCAUAUUGUGUCAAAGUUUGUUAUGAGUCUUUCUGUUGAUUCUUUGGAUAUUUUCAUUUGAUAUAAGGGAUUUCCCUGGAUUAAGGGAAAAGAUUUUUUCUAAAUGGUUGAUUAUUCUUGUACAAUGUUGUACACACCUACUUAAUCUGUAUUAGGUUCAACGCUUGUCAUGGCAUACCCAUUUAAAUUCCACUGAGAAUGACAAGUCAGGGGCAGAUCCACUCAUUUUAAAAAGGGAGGGUUCCCAACCCAUAGUAAAGGAGGGGGAUGGUUCCAACUAUAUGCUCCCAUUCAAAUGCAUUGAUGGUCCAAAAAAAGGGGGUUCCAACACCCGAACCCCCCCUCCCUCCUGAUCUGCCAAUGCAAGUCCAUGAAUGAAAGACUUUUUUAAACUUUACAUACAUAUAAAAGGGUUGAUUAUGAAUGUGUAGAGAUAUUAUUUGUAUUCAGAUGAUAUAUUUUGAUACAUUUUUCUGGAUUGACCUUCAAUAGAAACGAUGAACUUCAGUUAUGGUUAGAGCAGGUUGAACAUUCCAAAAUUCAGAAAAACAAAAUGCAUGUCAUAACUUUCUAAAAACAAAAUGUUUCAUUGAAACCCAUGUCAGAUACUAAAUGGAAAUUAUACAAUAUUGACCUGAACACUCUGACCACAUUUUUGGUUCAAAUAUUUUGAAAAGGUUAACAAUUCAAGUUACAUUUAUACUUAAUUUUGUUACAUUUCCAUACUAGAUCAUCUUUGUCUAUUGUCAUUUGUUAAUGUUUAUAUUUUUUGAUGCCAUUUUGAGGACUUUUUUUUUUUUUAGUUAGAUGAAUUUUACUAUCUUUCUGUAACCAAACAAUAUCAUUUCUGUUGGUAUUUUUAAUCAGUAUAAAAAGCAUAAUUUGUUAAAUUAAUUUUUUUUAUUAUUACUUGAUUUAUUGUACUUGUCUAGUUAUAGCUUAAACCAAAAAAUAAUUCAGAGAUGCUUCAUUUUAAACGAAGAACUUCAGGAUUUUUUUUUCAACAUAU